rnacentral:rRNA from 1 species
AUUGAACGCUGGCGGCAUGCUUUACACAUGCAAGUCGAACGGCAGCGCGGGGCAACCUGGCGGCGAGUGGCGAACGGGUGAGUAAUACAUCGGAACGUACCCAGAAGUGGGGGAUAACGUAGCGAAAGUUACGCUAAUACCGCAUACGUUCUACGGAAGAAAGUGGGGGACCUUCGGGCCUCAUGCUUUUGGAGCGGCCGAUGUCUGAUUAGCUAGUUGGUGAGGUAAAGGCUUACCAAGGCGACGAUCAGUAGCUGGUCUGAGAGGACGACCAGCCACACUGGGACCGAGACAUGGCCCAGACUCCUACGGGAGGCAGCAGUGGGGAAUUUUGGACAAUGGGCGCAAGCCUGAUCCAGCAAUGCCGCGUGAGUGAAGAAGGCCUUCGGGUUGUAAAGCUCUUUUGUCAGGGAAGAAACGGCUGGGGUUAAUACCUUCGGCUAAUGACGGUACCUGAAGAAUAAGCACCGGCUAACUACGUGCCAGCAGCCGCCGCGG